rnacentral:rRNA from 1 species
ACGGGGGUUGCGAGCGUUGUCCGGAAUUACUAGGCGUAAAGGGCAGGCAGGCGGAUGCAUAAGUUAUUCGUUUAAGGCCUCAGCUUAACCCACGAACGGCAUUUGAAACUAUUCAGCUUGAGUAGGGGAGAGGAAAGUGGAAUUCCUGGUGUAGAGGUUAAAUUCGUAGAUAUCAGGAGGAACACCGGUGGCGAAGGCGACUUUCUGGCCCUAUACUGACGCUGAGACGCGAGAGCGUGGGUAGCAAACAG